CCUACGGGAGGCAGCAGUGGGGAAUCUUGCACAAUGGAGGAAACUCUGAUGCAGCGAUGCCGCGUGAGUGAAGAAGGCCUUUGGGUUGUAAAGCUCUUUUGUAGGGGAAGAUAAUGACUGUACCCUAAGAAUAAGGUCCGGCUAACUUCGUGCCAGCAGCCGCGGUAAUACGAAGGGACCUAGCGUAGUUCGGAAUUACUGGGCGUAAAGCGCGCGUAGGCCGUUGAGUUAGUUAAUUGUGAAAUCCCAAAGCUUAACUUUGGAACUGCAAUUAAAACUGCUCGACUAGAGUUUGAUAGAGGAAAGCGGAAUACAUAGUGUAGAGGUGAAAUUCGUAGAUAUUAUGUAGAACACCAGUUGCGAAGGCGGCUUUCUGGAUCAACACUGACGCUGAGGCGCGAAAGUAUGGGUAGCAAAGAGGAUUAGAUACCCUCGUAGUCCAUACCAUAAACGAUGAUUGCUAGAUGUUGGAAAUUUAUUUUCAGUAUCGCAGCUAACGCAUUAAGCAAUCCGCCUGGGGAGUACGACCGCAAGGUUAAAACUCAAAGGAAUUGACGGCNGAGAGUGCGACGACGACGACGAGGAGAGG
rnacentral:rRNA from 1 species